UACGUAGGUGGCGAGCGUUGUCCGGAUUUACUGGGCGUAAAGGGAGCGUAGGCGGAUUUUUAAGUGAGAUGUGAAAUACUCGGGCUCAACUUGAGUGCUGCAUUUCAAACUGGAAGUCUAGAGUGCAGGAGAGGAGAAUGGAAUUCCUAGUGUAGCGGUGAAAUGCGUAGAGAUUAGGAAGAACGCCAGUGGCGAAGGCGAUUCUCUGGACUGUAACUGACGCUGAGGCUCGAAAGCGUGGGGAGCGAACAGG
rnacentral:rRNA from 1 species